CGUCAUCGUCAGUGUUGCCUGCAGAUUAUUGUACGGAUAUGAAAUCGUGUGUCGCUUUAUCCAUCUUCAAAACUGCAACCUGACAAAGUUUCUGUCGCUAUUAGGGCUUGUCCGGACGGGACAGGGAAGUUAGGUUCGGCCCGGGGAGCCGUGUCGAGGCGGGUAAUAUGGGCCUGUUGGCUAGGGUACGGAAAGAAUGGUUUAUUAUCGGUAUAGUGGCAGUAAUCGUGUCGGCGAAACUACAGCCUGCAAUUGGAUUGAAAGGAGGUCCACUGAGACCAGAGUUCACAAUCACCUAUGUUGCGGUGUCAGCCAUUUUCUUCAACAGCGGCCUGUCAUUAAAAACCGAGGAGUUGACCAGUGCCCUCCUCCAUGUGAAGCUGCAUCUGUUUGUCCAGUCCUUCACCCUGGUUUUCUUCCCUGUUGCCAUGUGGCUCUGCAUCAAACUACUGGCUCUUACCUCAAUCAACACCUGGCUCCUCCGAGGGUUACAGACGGUGGGAUGUAUGCCCCCUCCAGUCUCCUCUGCUGUGAUACUCACCAAAGCUGUGGGGGGGAACGAGGCUGCCGCCAUCUUUAACUCCGCCUUCGGGAGCUUCCUGGGAAUUGUAGUGACACCACUGCUGUUACUACUGUUUCUGGGCUCGUCAUCGUCCGUUCCGUUCUCCUCCAUCUUCUCUCAGCUCUUUAUGACUGUGGUCGUUCCUCUCAUCCUAGGACAGGUGUCCCGGAGGUUCCUGAGGGACUGGCUAGAGAGGAGGAAACCUCCGUUUGGAGUCAUCAGUUCUUUGGUUCUCCUGAUGAUCAUUUACACCACCUUCUGUGAGACCUUCUCUAACCCGGAUAUUGAACUGGACCACCUCAGCCUGUUGCUCAUCACCUUCAUCAUAUUCUGCAUCCAGCUGAGCUUCAUGCUGUUGACGUUUGUCUUCUCCACACAGAAACAGUCUGGUUUUACUCCAGCUGACACAGUAGCUAUCAUGUUCUGUGCUACUCACAAGUCUCUCACCCUGGGUAUACCCAUGUUAAAGAUCGUGUUUGAGGGGUAUGAGCAUCUCUCUCUGAUCUCAGUCCCUCUCCUCAUCUAUCACCCUGCUCAGAUCCUACUGGGUUCAAUACUGGUCCCCACCAUCAAGAGCUGGAUGAACAGCAGACAGAAGGUAGAGAAAACACACACACACACACACACAGAGAGAUAUAUCUAUUUAUCUAUCACACCAACUAUUAUCUAACUCGGUCCCUCCGUUCUCUCCUCCCUGGAACAGCCUAGUAUUUUAUUGCAUUGAUAUCUACAGUACUCUACCUGUCUGUGGAGUGAAGUUGGCCGACCUACAGCCUAUCUGAAGUGUACUACCUACACUUCUCCCCCCGUGUGUACACUUAUUCACUCCCCCCUCAUGGGGAGUAUCCUUUAAACUGUGACAGAAGGGACUACUUCCUUCCUUCCUACGUAUCUCUCUGGUGGAAGGAUACAUACAGAAACACAAGUGCCUUAUCACAACCACGUGACUCGCAAAACACGUAGUCCUGGGCUUUAACGGUUGUGAUGGUUACUAUGACAAAAACUUGUAUGAUUAUUCGAUGGUUUACUUUUAUACGAACAUUAGAAGUCUCUAUUUUUGUAUCCCCCAUGAAGAUGGUGUCAACUUCCUGCGAGACAAGAAGUGCUACUGAUCAUCAUCGGGAAGUGAUUUCUGAGACGGCACCGCCUGCCAUGGGCAGACAGAGACUGGCUGGGGACCUUGUCCUCUUUUCUAACUAUUUUUCUGGGGAUGUUACAUUCAGAAGACUCUUUUUCUGACAAUCAGUUUUUAUGGUGUUAAACAAUGACUAGUUUACUGAUAGUUUCUAAUGCUCGUUUAGGCUUUUUUUGGGAGGGGGGGGGGAUUUAAAAAAAAAAAACGUUAUUACCAUAGUUGAAGGACAGACAUCUGGUGAUGUCUCCCUGUCUUUAUUCUGGGGGAUGAAAAUGUGAAGUGUGCGUCUGAAUUGGCAUCCUAUUUACUCUAAAGUGCACUACAUUUGACCAAGGCCCGGCCAUCGGUAGUACACUAUAUAGAGAAUAUAGGGUGCCAUUUUGGACACAGACAAAACUCUGGGGGAAAAAAUCUCCAAGUCUCUGACCAUGAACCAAUAGGUCUGCAUUCAGCAGAUGGAGAUAUGACUAUAGCAUGGUUCCUUAUUCCACAGGUCAGAGAGGGCUUCUCUUCUACUUCCUAUAUUUCUAUCUGAACAGUGAACAUGUUAAACUAUGUCAGAAGUACGUGCCAAAUAGCACCCUAAUUCCCUAUAUAUAUAUAUAUAUAUAUAUAUAUAUAUAUAUAUAUAUAUAUAUAUAUAUAUAUAUAUAUAUAUAUAUAUAUAUAUAUAUAUAUAUAUAUAUAUAUAUAUAUAGUGCACUACUGUUGCCCAGGGCCCAUAGAGCUCUGGUAAAGAAAAUGAAUGAGUGCACGACGAAGGGAAUAGGGUGCUAUUAUUUGGGACGCAAGCCCCCAUUGCCUAGGUGCCUUGGCAUAACGUCAGAAAAUACAUACUAACACAUUUGAUGAUUAUUUUGUUUUCAGAUUUUUCUAACGCUGAUUACCAAACAAACACUGUGUGACAACAAGGACCAAUGGCAACGUGUUCCACGUGUAAUUCUACUCCUUUAUAGGCCAGUCGGGACUCUCGGUACUGAAAAGAUAACCUUUCCGUUUGGGCGUAAGUUAGAAGGACAGGAGCCGGGGUUUCUUCUUCUCUAAUAUGAAUAAAAACUGUGAUUUUAAA